AGUAAGGAAUAUUGGUCAAUGGAGGGAACUCUGAACCAGCCAUGCCGCGUGCAGGAAGACGGCCCUCUGGGUUGUAAACUGCUUUUAUUCGGGAAUAAACCACAUUACGUGUAGUGUGCUGAAUGUACCGAAGGAAUAAGGAUCGGCUAACUCCGUGCCAGCAGCCGCGGUAAUACGGAGGAUCCAAGCGUUAUCCGGAUUUAUUGGGUUUAAAGGGUGCGUAGGCGGCUUAUUAAGUCAGGGGUGAAAGACGGUGGCUCAACCAUCGCAGUGCCCUUGAUACUGAUGAGCUUGAAUGGACUAGAGGUAGGCGGAAUGUGACAAGUAGCGGUGAAAUGCAUAGAUAUGUCACAGAACACCGAUUGCGAAGGCAGCUUACUAUGGUUUAAUUGACGCUGAGGCACGAAAGCGUGGGGAUCAAA
rnacentral:rRNA from 1 species